CAGGUUCCUCCCUCCCCUUCGUGGACCACAUCUUCCAGCAGCUUCCUGAGAAAGUAUACAGAGCCAGCUGAAAGAUGUCCUGUAAUUUCUGUGACCAGAGAAGACAUUCAGCCAUGCUGUCCCUCGGCCAAGAUGAACUAAGCCUGCGCCCCCAGAGAGCUGAGAUAUGAUCUCAUAAUUGCAUGGAAUUACACCUGAGAUAUCAGAUGUCCUGUGCUUACCUUCUACGUGCUCUGCUGGAGGGAAGCUAAGAUCCUUCAUUCUUUUCAGACAACUGGUUCUUCAAAGACGCUGACAAACCAGAUAGUCCAGAACUGCACACUCUGGAGCUAAUUC
rnacentral:lncRNA from 1 species